rnacentral:lncRNA from 1 species
UUUUUUCUCAUUUAUUUUAAUUUUUGUUUUUAUUUUUAAAUAGCCUUAUUUUCUUUAAUUCAUAAUAAAUCCAUUUUUAAUCCAAAAAAUAUGGGACUUUCACAAAAAAUAUUUAAAUAUUUUCCACUUCCAUAUUUUGAAUUAAAAUUAUUGUUUGGAUUAAUUUUGGUAUUUUUCAUGAAUUAAAUGUUUUUGUGCAUAUUUUUAAUUGUUU